CCUACGGGUGGCAGCAGUAGGGAAUCUUUCACCAUGGGCGACAGCCUGCUGGCGCACCUCCGCUUUCAUGAUGAAGGCCUUCGGGUUGUAAACUGCUUUUAUAAGCGAGAAAUAUGAUGGUAACUUAUGAAUAAGGAUCGGCUAACUACGUGACAGCAGCCGCGGUCAUACGUAGGAUCCGAGCAUUAUCCGGAGUGACUGGGUGUAAAGAGUGGCGUAGGUGGCAUAAUAAGUAGCUAGUGAAAUCUGGUGGCUCAACCAUUCAGACUAUUAGCUAAACUGUUAAGCUCGAGAACGUUAGGGGUAACUGGAAUUUCUAGUGUAGGAGUGAAAUCCGUAGAUAUUAGAAGGAACACCAAUAGCGUAGGCAGGUUACUGGGACGGUUCUGACACUAAGGCACGAAAGCGUAGGGAGCAAACGGGAUUAGAGACCCUUGUAGUC
rnacentral:rRNA from 1 species